UACGAAGGGUGCAAGCGUUACUCGGAAUUACUGGGCGUAAAGCGUGCGUAGGCGGUAUGUUAAGUCUGAUGUGAAAUCCCCGGGCUCAACCUGGGAAUGGCAUUGGAUACUGGCAGGCUAGAGUACGGUAGAGGGUGGUGGAAUUCCCGGUGUCGCGGUGGAAUGCGUAGAGAUCGGGAGGAACAUCUGUGGCGAAGGCGGCCACCUGGACCGGUACUGACGCUGAGGCGCGAAAGCGUGGGGAGCAAACAGG
rnacentral:rRNA from 1 species